ACAGCAUAAGAAAAUAUAUAUUCUCUGCGUAGGUUAGGAGGGAGAAAAGUCAAUUUUGUAUACUCUGCCAGCUCCAGUGAUGAAGAACUAGGAUAGAUAUCAACUAAUUGCAAGGCUGUACUUCCAUCCGUUACAAAGGAACAGAUAAUGCGGUAAGGAAAACAACAACAUAAAAUUGCAUGUUACCCAACUUUGGAUGUACUGGACUGCAUUGUAUAGGCAAUUUGUACCACUCAGCAUGACAGUGUAAACUGAAUCAAGAUUAAUUUACAUGCAAAAGAACACUUAGCAUGGACACAACUACACGGAAAAAAAGGAAAUCAAAUAGUUGUGAAGGCUAUCAUUAUUUCUAGACGAAAGACACAGAGAAGAAGACCCACAAAACUGCUUAUUAAACAUUUAUAUUAAAUAUAUAUCAUAUUCACGUGUUUUGGGCGGCUGUAAUAAAUACACAUGGAUUUUUUAAACUUUCUAGAACAGAAUGAAAGGACUGAUUAAUGCAAAUUCCAAUAUGAGAAGACACAAUGGAAUCUAAAGGUCAGAGACUGUCCAGGUGAGCUUAUAAAUAAACCAAAAAGCACUUUUCUGUUUGGCUUCUUUAAACACAAUACCAAAUAAAACCUUUUGCAAAAAGAAUUUGUAGUACAGGAAAGUCCUUCAUAUAUAUUUGAUGUGAUGCCAUACAAAAAGCCUGCGAGUUAUGAGACAGGCAGAGCAACUCUGUUAUGUGAUUGUGCAUAAGAACAGAGUCUAUGAUGGAGCAACAGCAAAAUCCAAAGCUCUGCUGGCUAGCUGUGGGUGGGGGAACACCUAACAAACAGAGCCACAUAACUACGCCAACAACAGAGCUAGUGCAGCUUUGUGGCCUCUGUGGAUGUGCGGGGCGGAGGCAGAGGUUAGGAUAUGCACAUUCCUUGUCUUCUCCUAUAGAACUCAUUUUGGCCCUCACUGCCCAUUAUCAAGGAAGGGCACCGAGCUUUUUGGCUUUGCACUAUGGAGACUUCUGACAGUGGGUCAGACUUUCUGCUGCAUCCUAUGCAGUUCAGCCAUACUUUUGGUGAACACAGAAUUGCUCCAUUCUAUAUUUUUAAAAGUGCGACAAAAAAUGUGGGUGCCAACUAAGUAGCUAAGCCAUACUUCUUUUGAAACUGAAGAGAUUAAGGCUAAAUAAUGCUGUAAGAAGUAGGUCACACUAAUGAAUUUUAAUGGAGUAGGGACAAAGUAUACUAGCUAUAUACAAGCAAAAGCUUUAGAAAGAGGACUGGAAAUAUAAAGAAAAAUAUGUUGGAAUUGUUUUUCUGAGUUACACCAGUAUUCCAAUCACUAGGACUAAUAUGAAAUGUCCAAGCGCAUAGGAAGCCAUAGUUUGGUUAACUAGAUAUAUUUAUUGCUUCACACAACAAGGAGUCCUAAAUUAAAAAAAAAUACACUACAGUGGUACCUCUGGUUGCGAACGGGAUCCAUUCUGGAGGCCCAUUCACAACAUGAA